GCAGUCGAACGGCAGCAUAGGAGCUUGCUCCUGAUGGCGAGUGGCGAACGAGGUGAGUAAUAUAUCGGAACGUGCCCUAGAGUGGGGGAUAACUAGUCGAAAGAUUAGCUAAUACCGCAUACGAUCUACGGAUGAAAGUGGGGGAUCGCAAGACCUCAUGCUCCUGGAGCGGCCGAUAUCUGAUUAGCUAGUUGGUGGGGUAAAAGCCUACCAAGGCGACGAUCAGUAGCUGGUCUGAGAGGACGACCAGCCACACUGGGACUGAGACACGGCCCAGACUCCUACGGGAGGCAGCAGUGGGGAAUUUUGGACAAUGGGGGCAACCCUGAUCCAGCAAUGCCGCGUGAGUGAAGAAGGCCUUCGGGUUGUAAAGCUCUUUUGUCAGGGAAGAAACGGUGGUAGCUAAUAUCUACUACUAAUGACGGUACCUGAAGAAUAAGCACCGGCUAACUACGUGCCAGCAGCCGCGGUAAUACGUAGGGUGCAAGCGUUAAUCGGAAUUACUGGGCGUAAAGCGUGCGCAGGCGGUUGUGUAAGACAGAUGUGAAAUCCCCGGGCUCAACCUGGGAAUUGCAUUUGUGACUGCACGGCUAGAGUGUGUCAGAGGGGGGUAGAAUUCCACGUGUAGCAGUGAAAUGCGUAGAUAUGUGGAGGAAUACCGAUGGCGAAGGCAGCCCCCUGGGAUAACACUGACGCUCAUGCACGAAAGCGUGGGGAGCAAAACAGGAUUAGAUACCCUGGUAGUCCACGCCCUAAACGAUGUCUACUAGUUGUCGGGUCUUAAUUGACUUGGUAACGCAGCUAACGCGUGAAGU
rnacentral:rRNA from 1 species